GCCGUCGUAAUAUAAUGGUUAGCACACUCGGCGCGUAUUCGAGAGGUCCGAGGUUCGAGUCCCGGCGAGGGCA
rnacentral:tRNA from 1 species